UUUUGUUGUAUUAAAACUUCUGAUUGCUGGACUUAUGCCAUUUUUCAUUGUUUGAGAAAGAUGACUUCAGUGCCAUCUCCAUAGUCUAAGCAUGAGACGUUUAUUUUCAUCAAGGUCAUGAAACCGCUUCAAGACUUCAGCCGAGGUUUUAUAUCCAACUGGUGUUUGAUUAAUAAUUUACACAGAAUGCAUUUGGUCCAGUCAAUUUCGUGCCCUAGUUUGCUUUCUGGAUUUUCCAUUUCCAUCAGUUCAACUCAACACCACCAACAUCUAUACUACAAGAUAACCAACAUUCAAAGUACAACCAUCACCAUGUGUAUGCAGGACCUGAAAAUAAUUGACAAAUUUUUGUUAUCUAUAUAAUUUAUGAUUGCAAAACUCAACACUUUUUUCUGAAGACUUAAAAAAAAUAAAGAUAAAGAUAUUCGGUUAGCACAGUGGGUACUGACGCAGCGUGUCCCUCUGCAUUUCUUGAAACAAUUUUCAUUUUUCUAAAGAUAGUUACUGAAUAUAGCUUCAACGGUCAGUUACUAUGCUAAACAGGUUACUUAGGAACUGUUGCUAAGGCCGUUACAUUUUCAAACGGCUCCACCUCUGGGAUUGGUGGAAAUCUGAUGGAGAACAUUUAUGAGAAGUUUCAUGCUUGUACCAUCAUCGUACUUUUUCUACCAAUCGUCCAGACUAGCAGGUUUCUGCACAAAAGUCCGUUUAACUUUAAUAGCUUCUUCAAAACCUUCCUGUGGCCGGAUUCAUGACCAUGACAGCGAAAAUCUGAUUAGGCCAUCAUUCUUCAUCGAGCUGCAGCCUCUGCCUCCGUGUCUGCCUCUGUCUUGGCUGGAGCGACUAAAUCUAAGAGCUCUCCUGGCAGGCGGAGAACGUGUCGACCUUGUCUCGUCCUCUGUUACAGGAAGGAGGCUCUAAUCAGCUCUGCAGAGAGGAUGUGGGGAUAACUGGCAGGAAACCAGGUGAGAGGAGGAACAGGAUUGCCCAGCAGACCCCACCCUGCCGCCUUCACCUCAUUAUGACCUGCCUGGUCACCCACAGACUCCCCUUCUGAACACAAUCCUCACUGGAUUUCCCUCACCAGCACUGACCUAGCAGGAACCCCAAAUACAACAGGAUUCUAAGAACAGAAGCUCUCUCUGGUACCUGCAGCAAAUAAACACAAUUCA